GUCCACGCCGUAAACGGUGGGCGCUAGGUGUGGGUUCCUUCCACGGAAUCCGUGCCGUAGCUAACGCAUUAAGCGCCCCGCCUGGGGAGUACGGCCGCAAGGCUAAAACUCAAAGGAAUUGACGGGGGCCCGCACAAGCGGCGGAGCAUGUGGAUUAAUUCGAUGCAACGCGAAGAACCUUACCUGGGUUUGACAUAUACCGGAAAGCUGCAGAGAUGUGGCCCCCCUUGUGGUCGGUAUACAGGUGGUGCAUGGCU
rnacentral:rRNA from 1 species